ACAGAGGUCCCAAGCGUUGUUCGGAUUCACUGGGCGUAAAGGGUGCGUAGGUGGUUGGGUAAGUCUGAUGUGAAAUCUCCGAGCUCAACUCGGAAACUGCAUCGGAUACUAUUCAACUCGAGGGUUGGAGGGGGGACUGGAAUACUUGGUGUAGCAGUGAAAUGCGUAGAUAUCAAGUGGAACACCAGUGGCGAAGGCGAGUCCCUGGACAACUCCUGACACUGAGGCACGAAAGCUAGGGGAGCAAACAGGA
rnacentral:rRNA from 1 species